rnacentral:rRNA from 1 species
AGUGAACGCUGGCGGUAGGCCUAACACAUGCAAGUCGAACGGCAGCACAGUAAGAGCUUGCUCUUACGGGUGGCGAGUGGCGGACGGGCGAGGAAUACAUCGGAAUCUACUUUUUCGUGGGGGAUAACGUAGGGAAACUUACGCUAAUACCGCAUACGACCUACGGGUGAAAGCAGGGGAUCUUCGGACCUUGCGCGAUUGAAUGAGCCGAUGUCGGAUUAGCUAGUUGGCGGGGUAAAGGCCCACCAAGGCGACGAUCCGCAGCUGGUCUGAGAGGAUGAUCAGCCACACUGGAACUGAGACACGGUCCAGACUCCUACGGGAGGCAGCAGUGGGGAAUAUUGGACAAUGGGCGCAAGCCUGAUCCAGCCAUACCGCGUGGGUGAAGAAGGCCUUCGGGUUGUAAAGCCCUUUUGUUGGGAAAGAAAAGCAGCAGGUUAAUACCCCGCUGUUCUGACGGUACCCAAAGAAUAAGCACCGGCUAACUUCGUG